GAGGAGCCCGCGCCGGAUUAGCUAGUUGGUAGGGUAAUGGCCUACCAAGGCGACGAUCCGUAGCCGGCCUGAGAGGGUGACCGGCCACACUGGAACUGAGACACGGUCCAGACUCCUACGGGAGGCAGCAGUGGGGAAUUUUGCGCAAUGGGGGAAACCCUGACGCAGCAACGCCGCGUGGACGAUGAAGGCCUUUGGGUCGUAAAGUCCUGUCAGCAGGGAAAAACACAAUGAUGGUACCUGCAGAGGAAGCUCCGGCUAACUUCGUGCCAGCAGCCGCGGUAAUACGAGGGGAGCAAGCGUUGUUCGGAAUCAUUGGGCGUAAAGGGCGCGUAGGCGGCCUGUGCAAGUCUGGGGUGAAAGCCCUCGGCUCAACCGAGGAAUGGCCUUGGAUACUGCACGGCUUGAGUAUUGGAGAGGAAAGCGGAAUUCCCAGUGUAGCGGUGAAAUGCGUAGAUAUUGGGAGG
rnacentral:rRNA from 1 species